GACGAACGCUGGCGGCGUGCCUAAUACAUGCAAGUCGAGCGAAUGACGAGAAGCUUGCUUCUCUGAUUUAGCGGCGGACGGGUGAGUAACACGUGGGCAACCUGCCCUACAGAUCGGGAUACCUCAGGGAAACCUGGGCUAAUACCGGAUAAUCCUUCGAAUCACAUGUUUUGAAGUUGAAAGGCGCUGCGGCGUCACUGUAGGAUGUGCCCGCGGUGCAUUAGCUAGUUGGUGGGGUAACGGCCUACCAAGGCAACGAUGCAUAGCCGACCUGAGAGGGUGAUCGGCCACAUUGGGACUGAGACACGGCCCAAACUCCUACGGGAGGCAGCAGUAGGGAAUCUUCCACAAUGGACGAAAGUCUGAUGGAGCAACGCCGCGUGAGUGAUGAAGGUUUUCGGAUCGUAAAACUCUGUUGUAAGGGAAGAACAAGUACGUUAGGAAAUGAACGUACCUUGACGGUACCUUAUUAGAAAGCCACGGCUAACUACGUGCCAGCCGCCGCCGUAA
rnacentral:rRNA from 1 species